AGAGUUUGAUCCUGGCUCAGGACGAACGCCGGCGGCGUGCUUAACACAUGCAAGUCGAACGGAAAGGCCCUUCGGGGUACUCGAGUGGCGAACGGGUGAGUAACACGUGGGUGAUCUGCCCUGCACUUUGGGAUAAGCCUGGGAAACUGGGUCUAAUACCGAAUAUGACCAUGCACUUCCUGGUGUGUGGUGGAAAGCUUUUGCGGUGUGGGAUGGGCCCGCGGCCUAUCAGCUUGUUGGUGGGGUAAUGGCCUACCAAGGCGACGACGGGUAGCCGGCCUGAGAGGGUGACCGGCCACACUGGGACUGAGAUACGGCCCAGACUCCUACGGGAGGCAGCAGUGGGGAAUAUUGCACAAUGGGCGCAAGCCUGAUGCAGCGACGCCGCGUGAGGGAUGACGGCCUUCGGGUUGUAAACCUCUUUCAGCACAGACGAAGCGCAAGUGACGGUAUGUGCGGAAGAAGGACCGGCCAACUACGUGCCAGCAGCCGCGGUAAUACGUAGGGUCCGAGCGUUGUCCGGAAUUACUGGGCGUAAAGAGCUCGUAGGUGGUUUGUCGCGUUGUUCGUGAAAACUCACAGCUUAACUGUGGGCGUGCGGGCGAUACGGGCAGACUUGAGUACUGCAGGGGAGACUGGAAUUCCUGGUGUAGCGGUGGAAUGCGCAGAUAUCAGGAGGAACACCGGUGGCGGAGGCGGGUCUCUGGGCAGUAACUGACGCUGAGGAGCGAAAGCGUGGGGAGCGAACAGGAUUAGAUACCCUGGUAGUCCAA
rnacentral:rRNA from 1 species